GAAUGAACGCCAGCUACAGGCUUAACACAUGCAAGUUCGAGGGGCAGCAUGGUCUUAGCUUCGCUAAGGCCGAAGGCGACCGGCGCACGGGUGAGUAACACGUAUCCAACCUGCCGUCUACUCUUGGACAGCCUUCUGAAAGGAAGAUUAAUACAAGAUGGCAUCAUGAGUCCGCAUGUUCACAUGAUUAAAGGUAUUCCGGUAGACGAUGGGGAUGCGUUCCAUUAGAUAGUAGGCGGGGUAACGGCCCACCUAGUCUUCGAUGGAUAGGGGUUCUGAGAGGAAGGUCCCCCACAUUGGAACUGAGACACGGUCCAAACUCCUACGGGAGGCAGCAGUGAGGAAUAUUGGUCAAUGGGCGAGAGCCUGAACCAGCCAAGUAGCGUGAAGGAUGACUGCCCUAUGGGUUGUAAACUUCUUUUAUAAAGGAAUAAAGUCGGGUAUGGAUACCCGUUUGCAUGUACUUUAUGAAUAAGGAUCGGCUAACUCCGUGCCAGCAGCCGCGGUAAUACGGAGGAUCCGAGCGUUAUCCGGAUUUAUUGGGUUUAAAGGGAGCGUAGAUGGAUGUUUAAGUCAGUUGUGAAAGUUUGCGGCUCAACCGUAAAAUUGCAGUUGAUACUGGAUAUCUUGAGUGCAGUUGAGGCAGGCGGAAUUCGUGGUGUAGCGGUGAAAUGCUUAGAUAUCACGAAGAACUCCGAUUGCGAAGGCAGCCUGCUAAGCUGCAACUGACAUUGAGGCUCGAAAGUGUGGGUAUCAAACAGGAUUAGAUACCCUGGUAGUCCACACGGUAAACGAUGAAUACCCGCUGUUUGCGAUAUACUGCAAGCGGCCAAGCGAAAGCGUUAAGUAUUCCACCUGGGGAGUACGCCGGCAACGGUGAAACUCAAAGGAAUUGACGGGGGCCCGCACAAGCGGAGGAACAUGUGGUUUAAUUCGAUGAUACGCGAGGAACCUUACCCGGGCUUAAAUUGCAGAUGAAUUACGGUGAAAGCCGUAAGCCGCAAGGCAUCUGUGAAGGUGCUGCAUGGUUGUCGUCAGCUCGUGCCGUGAGGUGUCGGCUUAAGUGCCAUAACGAGCGCAACCCUUGUUGUCAGUUACUAACAGGUUCCGCUGAGGACUCUGACAAGACUGCCAUCGUAAGAUGUGAGGAAGGUGGGGAUGACGUCAAAUCAGCACGGCCCUUACGUCCGGGGCUACACACGUGUUACAAUGGGGGGUACAGAGGGCCGCUACCACGCGAGUGGAUGCCAAUCCCCAAAACCUCUCUCAGUUCGGACUGGAGUCUGCAACCCGACUCCACGAAGCUGGAUUCGCUAGUAAUCGCGCAUCAGCCACGGCGCGGUGAAUACGUUCCCGGGCCU
rnacentral:rRNA from 1 species